UAGGGAAUCUUCGGCAAUGGACGAAAGUCUGACCGAGCAACGCCGCGUGAGUGAAGAAGGUUUUCGGAUCGUAAAACUCUGUUGUUAGAGAAGAACAAGGACGUUAGUAACUGAACGUCCCCUGACGGUAUCUAACCAGAAAGCCACGGCUAACUACGUGCCAGCAGCCGCGGUAAUACGUAGGUGGCAAGCGUUGUCCGGAUUUAUUGGGCGUAAAGCGAGCGCAGGCGGUUUCUUAAGUCUGAUGUGAAAGCCCCCGGCCCAACCGGGGAGGGUCAUUGGAAACUGGGAAACUUGAGUGCAGAAGAGGAGAGUGGAAUUCCAUGUGUAGCGGUGAAAUGCGUAGAUAUAUGGAGGAACACCAGUGGCGAAGGCGGCUCUCUGGUCUGUAACUGACGCUGAGGCUCGAAAGCGUGGGGAGCAAACAGG
rnacentral:rRNA from 1 species